rnacentral:lncRNA from 1 species
CGCUUCUUACACCCCACUAAUUAAUCACUCGAGGACCAGUUUGCGGAAACGGAAAACUCCGAGGGCUCUUUUGCAAAAAAAAAAGGAAAAAAAUGGCGCAGGGGAAUAACCACUCGGCGACGCGGCGCCCGCACGGGUUCGUCCCGCCGCACGAGCUGCUGCGGCGGCGGUGCCGCGCCGCGUCGUUCUCGGUCCAGGAAGGGCUGGGCCGGACCCUCAAGGGCCGCGACUUGAGCCGGGUCCGAAACGCGGUUUGGGCCAAGAUCGGGUUCGAGGAUUAAACCCGUUACACUUUUUUCUUUUUUUUUUUUCUUUUUUUUUUGGGUGUGUGUGAUCCCCUUCGAUUACCAAUUUUUAUGGGAGAAGGAGAGGGAUGAGAUGAUAAGUUUGUUUUAGUGGGUUAUGUUGUAUGAGACAUAAUAGAUGUGUGGGUUUAGAUUUAUUAUUAUUAAAGAGUUUGAGUGGUUUUUUUUGGNUGGGUGUGUGUGAUCCCCUUCGAUUACCAAUUUUUAUGGGAGAAGGAGAGAGGGAUGAGAUGAUAAGUUUGUUUUAGUGGGUUAUGUUGUAUGAGACAUAAUAGAUGUGUGGGCUUAAGAUUUAUUAUUAUUAUUAAAGAGUUUGAGUGGUUUUUUUGGGUUUAUUUUUGGAUUCUGUAAUGGAAUAUAUUUCUUUGUAACAAAGAGUAAUGAAGUUUAAUAAUAUUAAUUAACAGUUUAAUUAUAAUCCAAUUAUUAAAAAACAAAUUGAUCAAAGGUUGAGAGG